UUGCACCGAUUAUGUUUCACAUUUUCUGUUCUGGCUUGGAUAAAUUUCCUGGAAGGAGGUCACCUAAUUUGUAUUUUUGAGGAAUAAAUUUAGUAAUAUACAGGUAGAAUAACCACUUUCAAACUGUUUUCCUUUUUUCCCCCUUUCCUCCUCCAUGUCAUAUGGGAAUAGCAUCUUCUAAAGACAAAACUUUAUUACUGAUUAGUAGUUUUGAGACAACCAGUGAAUGAAAUUCAAUGUGAAAAGGAAAUGUGAAACUUUACUGCAGUGUAAUUUGUUUCUUCUGCACCACUUUGGGUACAGUAAA
rnacentral:lncRNA from 1 species